UUUUUUUUUUUUUUUUUUUUUUUAAUGAGAUCAAUGCAUUUCCAGCAAGCAAUUUCCACCCCUACAUAUUUUCAUAAAGAGAUACUACUCUUUUACAGUGCUAGGUACCUACUCUGAGUUUUUAACCAAUAAAUACUUAGGGAUUUCAGGUGGGUGAAAAUAACCCAAACUUUUUGCCCAAGGCAUGGAAAGUACAGGCUGAAAGAGGGAGAAAGGAACCAAGGGUUGGUAAAUGUGUGUAGAAAAGCACUUUCUUUUCUGGUGAAUAGUUUGCCCAGGAAAAAAAUAUGCAUUUGAAAAUUUCUGCAAGAUCUAUCUCUUAAGAUCAGACAAUUAUUCAUCUCAUUCUUUAAAAACAAAUAAAAAAUAAAACCGUAAUCUCGAUGUUAAAAAUCCUCAUUUCAAAGUCCAUCCUACACACUCAUUGGAUAAACAAGCUCUAGGUUUGCGUGGGUUCCCGGGUAUUUAAAGCUUUUACAUUUAGCAUCACCCCUUUCAGAGGCACUGAGUCUGCCUGCCUUCUCCGCCCACAGACAGUCAGUCACGAUCGGCUCAAUUCCACCCUCGGCCCCCUCACGAUUCUACCACACAGGUCUCACAAGUUGAAAAUUAUUUUCUUAUGUUUGGUCUUCACAGCUACAUAGAACUACUUCAGGGCAUAGAGCAUAUUUUAUUCAUUUUUAUAUUUCCAAUUUCCCUAAAUAAUUUAUUCAUUCAUUAAAAGAAGCCUACUGAGCCUACUACGCGCCAGAGGCUUUAAUCAUUCAGCAGAAUGUACUGAACGGGCACAGUUCUAAUAAGCAACAGGAACGCAUCUGUGAACAAAGGAGAAGGCGAGUCCUGGCCUCAAGGAUCUUACUUCUGCUGGGGAAACAAGAGCCAACAGAUAUAAUACAGUUUCUCCAAAGGCAGUGAGUGCUAAGGAAAAAGGAAAAGCAGAGCAAUACAAGGAGGCUUCAGAGUAUGCUGCUGCAUUAAAAAGGUGGUCAAGAAAGGCCUCACUGAGAAACGACUCUUGAGCAAAGCCUUUGAGGAGGUGAGGGCAUUAGCCAAGAGCAUCAAGGGGAGCCUCUGGAGAAGGGCAUUACAGGCAGAGGGAACCACCAGGGCAAAGGCUGCUGUGGGUCACGGUUCAGAAGCCUUUCAGGAUCAGCAAAAAGGCCACAUGGGCUGGAAUGGGGAGGGGGGAAGAGGGGAGCAGAUGACUAAUAGUAAGGUCAGGGGUUAGAGAGGCCGCAUAAGCCACUGUAGGGGUGUUCUUACAACUGCCUAGCUCCCAAAGUAGACAAGAAGCAUACAUCCCAAAACAUGCACAAUCACAUAUAUAUCCAGCCACUACUAAAACUUUAAAACAGGACUUGCGGUGCUUCCCCUGCAUCCCAAUGGAUCAUUCUGCACAUCAUAUUCCUUGGAGAAGCAGCAGCCCACUCUGAAGACCACUACCCUAUGCUGUCAUAGCUCAGGCAGUAAACAACGUAUUCUCACAAUGACUAGGAGCAGCCAGAGGUCUGCUGAAUUCCUAAGCCCCUCAACACAGCCUGGGAUCCACCCUGAAAGCCUUACAGAAGAUCCCAGGUUGCAGGAGGGUUGAACUGGAAAUGUUUUGGGAUUUUGUUUUGGUUUCUUCCCCUAGUCCAAGAGUUUCUUAAAACAACAAAUUCCACAAUUCAGUUCAGAAAUCAUCAACUCUCUCACUCGGAGUAUUUCAUACUUCCUACACCUUCAGAGACCUGGUACUGCCAAGGAUGGAAAUGGCCAGCAUUUCUAUACAGUUGCCCUUUAUUGGGUAUACAAUAGUUUUUCUUACAAUUGAGCUAUUUAAAACAAAACAAAAUCAAAAACCUCCUAUGAAUGAAUGUAGGGACUACUCUACUAAAUAAGAAAGUUUAGCAAAAGUAAACUUGCUAAAAUUUACUCUCCUUUUCCCCUCCUUAAAAAGGUGGGCCACAGAACUAAACCACCUGGCUUGGCACUCAGCCUCUUCAGAAGCUCUCCCAUGUACACCGCAAGAUGAAAUAAAACCUUGGGGAAAGGGGUCGUCCGAGCUAACUGUUGCUUUGAUUAAGAAGCCACGGCGCUCAGCACAGUCUCAGGACGAGCAGAGUCCUCUUCGCCAUUGUCCAUGUCUUCGAGGUCACUAUUUAAACACUAACUCAACUUACCUCAAUGACUUCUAAAAAGAAUCAAGCCAGAUUAUUAUGCUAUUACACAGAGGAGAAUCAUACUUCACCCCAUCCUCUCAAGGAGAUAAUCAUAAAAUUGCUCAAGUACUGGCAUGUGUUUUACCUCGUGUGGUUCAACCAUCAAAAUUAUGUCAUUAUUCCAGCAGAGCAAAAGUCAAUUGCGUGAACUAGCUAAUCCUCAUACAACCUCUUAUAAUUUUCAUCUCGUCUCUCAAUUCUUUUUUUCCUUUCCUUUUUUUUUUUUUUUUUUUUUUUUUGGCUAUAUUUUUAAGUUUAAGCUGGAGAAGAAAAGUCAUCCCUACCUGUAGAGAGGACCAUUUGGCUCUUAUUUCAGAUUUUUUAGGAAACUGCAAUGCCAAGAAAGGGUAAACAUUAGAGACAAUCUACUUUCCAGCUCUGAAUGACCACCCUAAGAUGCACCAAUCAUCCGACAGGGACACAAUGCACCAAAACAGAAAUGACAAAAGCUGAAGAACUUGAAAGCAGUUCUUUCCCUUAAAUGAAGCUUUUACAUCAAACAAAUCUAGGGAGCUCCCGUCGUGGCUCGUGGCUCGUGGCUCAGCAGUUAAUGAACCAACUAAGAUCCAUGAGGAUCCGAGAGUUCAGUCCCUGGCCUCACUCAGUGAGUUAAGGAUCUGACGUUGCUGUGAGCUAUGGUGUAGGUUGCAGAUGAGGCUCGGAUCCCGAGUUGCUGUGGCUGUGGUGUAGGCUGGCAGCUGCAGCUCCGAUUUGACCCCCAGCCUGGGAAUUUCUGUAUGCCGCAAGUGGGGCCCUAAAAAGACAAAAAAAAAAAGAAAAACAAAACAAAACCACACAACCUAAUCUAAACAAUUCCUGUGUAUUCUAGUCUUUUGACAAUGUGUCAAUCAAAGCUUUUAUUCCAUAGCCCUUAGCAAUUUUCCACAUUUAAUAUGACAAAGAAAACCAGUGCUAAUCUUCUACACGACUAAACCCAAACUUUGAAAUUACCAGUAAAAGUGACAUCAUUUAUAUCAUCUCUCUUAUUGAGAAGUAGAUUCUGUUUUUGAUAGUAAAAAGCAGCCCUGAAAGUCUGCAUGAAUUGAAGCUGUCAAUAAGUAGCCAGCUCCCUGUGCCCCUUCCCUGGUGUCUGGCUCAGGGAGGGUCAGCAAAAUAGGGGCCAAGGGUCAAAGGGUCCACUGCCUGCUUUAGCAUGGUCCGCAGUGAAAGAAUGGGUUCUCU
rnacentral:lncRNA from 1 species